UGGCGGCACGCUUAACACAUGCAAGUCGAACGGGAUCUUCGGAUCUAGUGGCAGACGGGUGAGUAACGCGUGGGAACCUGCCCAGUAGUAGAGAAUAACUUGAGGAAACUUAAGCUAAUACUUUAUACACCCUUCGGGGAAAAGCUUUAUGCGCUAUUGGAUGGGCCCGCGUUAGAUUAGUUUGUUGGUGAGGUAAUGGCUCACCAAGACUACGAUCUAUAGCUGGUCUGAGAGGAUGAUCAGCCACACUGGGACUGAGACACGGCCCAGACUCCUACGGGAGGCAGCAGUGGGGAAUAUUGGACAA
rnacentral:rRNA from 1 species